rnacentral:rRNA from 1 species
UACGGGGGGGGCAAGCGUUGUUCGGAAUUACUGGGCGUAAAGGGCUCGUAGGUGGCCAACUAAGUCAGACGUGAAAUCCCCAGGCUCAACCUGGGAACUGCGUCUGAUACUGGAUGGCUUGAAUUCGGGAGAGGGAUGCAGAAUUCCAGGUGUAGCGGUGAAAUGCGUAGAUAUCUGGAGGAAUACCGGUGGCGAAGGCGGCAUCCUGGACCGAUAUUGACACUGAGGAGCGAAAGCUAGGGGAGCAAACGGG